GGGCGUAAAGCGCACGCAGGCGGUCUGUCAAGUCGGAGGUGAAAUCCCCGGGCUCAACCUGGGAACUGCAUUCGAAACUGGCAGGCUUGAGUCUUGUAGAGGGGGGUAGAAUUCCAGGUGUAGCGGUGAAAUGCGUAGAGAUCUGGAGGAAUACCGGUGGCGAAGGCGGCCCCCUGGACAAAGACUGACGCUCAGGUGCGAAAGCGUGGGGAGCAAACAGGAUUAGAUACCCUGGUAGUCCACGCCGUAAACGAUGUCUACUUGGAGGUUGUGCCCUUGAGGCGUGGCUUCCGGAGCUAACGCGUUAAGUAGACCGCCUGGGGAGUACGGCCGCAAGGUUAAAACUCAAAUGAAUUGACGGGGGCCCGCACAAGCGGUGGAGCAUGUGGUUUAAUUCGAUGCAACGCGAAGAACCUUACCUGGUCUUGACAUCCACAGAACUUUCCAAUAGAAAAUU
rnacentral:rRNA from 1 species